rfam:Gossypium hirsutum cultivar TM-1 chromosome 17, whole genome shotgun sequence
UAUUAAAAUUUCAUCCAUUUUUCCUGUUAAAAACUAAUGUAGCUGACAAAUUAAUCGGACAGUUACAUGUAAUAUGUCACGUAUACCUCAUGUUGACGUACAUGGAUGAAUUUUUAACAGUAGAAAUGGAUGGAAUUUUUAACA